UACGUAGGGGGCUAGCGUUGUCCGGAAUCAUUGGGCGUAAAGAGCGUGUAGGCGGCCAGACAGGUCCGUUGUGAAAACUCGAGGCUCAACCUCGAGAUGUCGAUGGAAACCGUCUGGCUAGAGUCCGGAAGAGGAGAGUGGAAUUCCUGGUGUAGCGGUGAAAUGCGCAGAUAUCAGGAAGAACACCCGUGGCGAAGGCGGCUCUCUGGGACGGUACUGACGCUGAGACGCGAAAGCGUGGGGGAGCGAACAGG
rnacentral:rRNA from 1 species